GACGAACGCUGGCGGCGUGCUUAACACAUGCAAGUCGAACGGAAAGGCCCUGCUUUUGUGGGGUGCUCGAGUGGCGAACGGGUGAGUAACACGUGAGUAACCUGCCCUUGACUUUGGGAUAACUUCAGGAAACUGGGGCUAAUACCGGAUAGGAGCUCCUGCUGCAUGGGGGGGGUUGGUAAGUUUCGGCGGUUGGGGAUGGACUCGCGGCUUAUCAGCUUGUUGGUGGGGUAGUGGCUUACCAAGGCUGUGACGGGUAGCCGGCCUGGGAGGGUGAACGGCCACAUUGGGACUGAGAUACGGCGCAGACUCCUACGGGAGGCAGCAGUGGGGAAUAUUGCACAGUGGGCGGAAGCCUGAUGCAGCAACGCCGCGUGCGGGAUGACGGCCUUCGGGUUGUAAACCGCUUUCGCCUGUGACGAAGCGUGAGUGACGGUAAUGGGUAAAGAAGCACCGGCUAACUACGUG
rnacentral:rRNA from 1 species